rnacentral:tRNA from 1 species
GCAGAUAGCUCAAUGGCAAAGCACUUGCGUAGCAUGCAUGAGGACCUGGGUUCAAUCCCCAUUAGCA